UAGAAAACUACUUUGUUUUGUUUUGUGCAAACACAAAAAGAGAUAUAUGUUUCUUAUCUUUAAAUGAAAAUAACUUUCUAUGUCUGUCCUCCUGAACUUCUGAAAUUCAUCAAAGAAUAGCUUCUUGUCUCCUUCCUUUUCUUCUACCCUAAAUCUAUCCGAUAGAGUACAUCUUUUUACAUUUUGAUUUGUCAUAGAUUGAAUCCACCUUGGACCUCAUCUAAUGUUUGUUAAGUCCAUCAAGCAACACCUAUUUGAUUCUUAUAUCCAUUCUUUUCCCCGAGAUUACAUAUUCUUGAUCUCAGUGACUCAAAACCAACAAAGUUGAACAUACCAAACUUUUUUCUUUCCUAUCUUCUCC
rnacentral:misc_RNA from 1 species